AGACAGAGUCUUGCCCUGUUGCCCAGUCUGCAAUGCAAGUGUGCAAUCUCGGCUCACUGCAACCUCUGCCUCCCAGGCUCAAGAGAUCCUCCCACCUCAGCCUCCUAAGUAACUGGGACUACAGGUGUGCACCAUCACACCCAGCUAAUUCUUAUAUUUCUUGUAGAGAUGGGCUUUUGUCAUUUUGCCCAGGCUGGUCUCCAGCUCCUGGGCUCAAGUGAUCUUCCUGCCUCAGCCUCCCAAAGUGCUGGGAUUACAGGUGUGAGCCACCGCACUCUGUCUCAUUUUCACCAUUUGGGAUGAGAGACGUUACUGGUUUCUAAUAAGUAGAGGCCAGAAAUUGUGCUUAAUAUCUUACAAUACCCAGGACAAUCCCUACCCUGAAAGAAUUAUCCAGCCCAAAAUGUCAAUAGUUCCAAGUUGGGCAAACUCUGCUCUAAGGUUUUUGUGAGGAUUAAUUCACAUAGUGCUCUAAAGGUUUAGCAGAAUACUGGGCUCAAUAAAUCUUAACUGUUAAUAAGACUGAUUUCUAUUGACUGGUAGAAAAUAUACCUUUAUGCAAAUUUCGAGUGAACACAAACAUGUAUAAAAAUAAAUGAACUCUCUAUUUUUGGGGCUAGAAGCUUAUUGAAGCAUUUCUUUAGAUUAAAUAAUAAAAUUAAUACCUAGUCAUGUAUGUAUUGACAUCUAGAAUCCAUAUGCUCUUUGUGAGCCUUGAAAGGUUUUGAAUGAUACUUGACUAUUCUGUCAUUGCCAUGGUAAAUGUUUUAUCUUGUUGUUAAUAUCUGACUUAUUUAAAAUUCAUGUGGGAAAUUUGAAAGUUCUAUUUCCUAUCUUGAAAAUCAAUGACAACUUAAUCAAUGCUGCUAAAACAAGCCCCAGUUCUUAUGUAGUAGAAAAGUAAAUAAGAUGGAGAAUUAAAAGUGACAGAAUCUUCACAUCAAGGACAGAGAGCAUAUUUCUAUCUCGUUCUUCUAUGUCUGCAGCCUGAAAUAUUCCAUCUGCUUGCCUCUUUCCUCAGGGAAUUGAAGCACCUUGAAAAGGAUAAGAAAACUUCAACAUUACAACGAUGUUUCAUAUCAUUAGGCUCAAAUUAAGUAAAUAACAGAAUCCUAAGCUGAUGACACAUCCUGGGUUUGCACUAAUCAUAAUUUGCAAUCUCCAUCAUUGUCAUCAGAACCUUUUUGCCUAGCAACAUUCCUGCUGCUGCUUCUGUUCCGACCCUCUGGGUGCAACUGAAGGAGGAGGCAGUCAAAAGGAAAAACACAAAUAUCUCCAAGAUGGCACUUACAAAAAGCAACAACAAUGACAAAGUAUAAAUACAAACACACACCUUGAAGUUUAUGUUCUUACUCAAAUGCAAGCAUCAACAAUGGCCUACUGUCAGCAAGUUAAAUGGCUGGGGCUGUUUCAGUCUCCCAUUACAUGAAGAAUCUUCUGGAGAGGAAAGAAGAAACCAUGUCUAGACAAGGUGCUGGAAAGACCCAGGGAAGACACAGAUUUGUUCCUUUCUCCACCAUGCCUCACUAUGUGUCACCAAACUUAAUUCAGCAUCAGUGCUCCAAAUACUCCAUCCUACAAUUAGAGAAACCACUGAAUUCCGAUAUCCUCCACCCAAAUGGUAAUGAAGAUUGGAGAAAGUGACGCCCAUGCAUAGCGGAGAAGUGGAUUGCAGAUAUAACAAGGAGCACAGUAAACUGAGAUGUAAAACACCUUAUUCAACAACGAGGAUGCUGACUCAAAAGCAAAAGUUGAAGCACAUUAUGAAUGAAUGUCAAAAGGGAAAAAUCUAAAGCUAACAUAAAAGAGUGCAACUACAUCAAA
rnacentral:lncRNA from 1 species